rnacentral:lncRNA from 1 species
CAUAAUGAGUUGAAAUAUUGAGCACCUAUCAUUUUUAUUGCGUUUGGCAUUACAACACAAAUGGUCCAUGGAUUUGGAUGUGCAUACAACCCUUUCCAUAAUUAACUUGGAAUUGCCUUUCUGAGUAAGUAUGUCAAAUGAGCAUUUUACUGUCAAAUGAGCAUUUUCCAUACACGUAUGAGAGAAAGAGAUGAUGAUGAUUAGACAUAUUACAACAUUUUUUAUUCAAUAAAUAAAAGCAACAUAUUAUUUAUGGGAAUAAAGAAGCAUAAGAAAUAAAAUAGUGCAAACCAUAAAACAAGAUGCAGGUAGAUUACUUCAAUUGAACUUAGUACACUCCACACCGGAUAUCCACCUCUAAUGGUGCCCAAGAUCAAUGGUCUAUCUCGGAUCUACCAAAUAUGGAAAAGCUAGGGCUGAACUCUCAACAAAGUAUGAGAGCAUGAAACAAUAUGGAUCAAACCCUCAAUGCCUUAGAAGCUAUGUGAAUGAGGCAUGCCCCUCUUUAUUUCCUAGGUGGAGCAUGCCCCCCUUUCUCUUCUUAAACUAUAGAGGGAUGAGAGAGAGAGAGAGAGAUCAUAUAUGAGAGAGUGAAGAGAAAUACCCUAGGGGUGGCACGUCACCC